AUGACUGACGUUGAGGCUCGAAAGCGUGGGGAGCAAACAGGAUUAGAUACCAUGGUAGUCCACGCCGUAAACGAUGACUGCUAGGUGUCGGGUGGCAAAGCCAUUCGGUGCCGCAGAUAACGCUAUAAGCCGUCCACGUGGGGCGUACGUUCGCACGAAUGAAACUCAAAGGAAUUGACGGGGACCUGCACAAGCGGUGGAGCAUGUGGUUUAAUUCGCAGCAACGAGAUGAACCUUACGUGAUCUCGACAUCCCGAUGACCGGUUGGUAAUGGAAGCUUUUCUUCGGAACAUCGGUGACAGGUGGUGCAUGGUUGUCGUCAGCUCGUGUCGUGAGAUGUUGGGUUAAGUCCCGCAACGAGCGCAACCCCUAUNUUCAGUAGCCAGCAGGUUAAGCUGGGCACUCUGGAGAGACUGCCAGGGAUAACCUGGAGGAAGGUGGGGAUGACGUCAAAUCAUCAUGCCCCUUAUGACCAGGGCUACACACGUGCUACAAUGGCGUAAACAAAGAGAAGCGAACUCGCGAGGGUAAGCAAAUCUCAAAAAUAACGUCUCAGUUCGGAUUGUAGUCUGCAACUCGANUACAUGAAGCUGGAAUCGNUAGUAAUCGCAGAUCAGAAUGCUGCGGUGAAUACGUUCCCGGGUCUUGUACACACCGCCCGUCACACCAUGGGAGUCAGUAACGCCCGAAGU
rnacentral:rRNA from 1 species